CCCCUCCCAGUUUGAUCUAAAAUUGGCACACUUUUUAAAUCGAUGAAAUGCUAUGUAGUCGACAAAAAAAAACACUGAAGCUUUUAUUUUGUUAAGGCUGCUUUGACUUUACAGCUCAUCAUUCUCUGCUAUUAUCAUUUACAAUCCAUUUACUACUGUUCCAUAAUAAAUAGCAGCUAUAGGACCAUCAC